rnacentral:rRNA from 1 species
GUAAACGGCGGCCGUAACUAUAACGGUCCUAAGGUAGCGAAAUUCCUUGUCGGGUAAGUUCCGACCUGCACGAAUGGCAUAAUGAUGGCCACACUGUCUCCUCCCGAGACUCAGUGAAGUUGAAAUGUUUGUGAUGAUGCAAUCUCCCCGCGGCUAGACGGUAAGACCCCAUGAACCUUUACUGUAGCUUUGCAUUGGACUUUGAACCGAUUUGUGUAGGAUAGGCGGGAGGCAGAGAAAGCGCAACGCCAGUUGUGCCGGAGCCGACGUUGAAAUACCGCCCUGAUUUGUUUGAGGUUCUAACCGCGACCCGUAAGCCGGGUCCGGGACCGUGCAUGGCAGGCAGUUUGACUGGGGCGGUCUCCUCCUAAAGGGUAACGGAGGAGUACAAAGGUACGCUAGGUACGGUCGGAAAUCGUGCUGAUAGUGCAAAGGCAAAAGCGUGCUUGACUGCGAGACCGACAAGUCGAGCAGAUGCGAAAGCAGGUCUUAGUGAUCCGGUGGCUCUGUAUGGAAGGGCCAUCGCUCAACGGAUAAAAGGUACUCUGGGGAUAACAGGCUGAUACCGCCCAAGAGUUCAUAUCGACGGCGGUGUUUGGCACCUCGAUGUCGGCUCAUCUCAUCCUGGGGCUGUAGCCGGUCCCAAGGGUAUGGCUGUUCGCCAUUUAAAGAGGUACGUGAGCUGGGUUUAAAACGUCGUGAGACAGUUUGGUCCCUAUCUGCCGUGGGCGCUGGAAGAUUGACGGGGGCUGCUCCUAGUACGAGAGGACCGGAGUGGACGCACCUCUGGUGUACCGGUUGUCACGCCAGUGGCAUCGCCGGGUAGCUAUGUGCGGAAGAGAUAACCGCUGAAAGCAUCUAAGCGGGAAACUUGCCUGAAGAUAAGUCUUCCCGGAGGCUAGACCUCCCUGAAGAGUCGUUCGAGACCAGGACGUUGAUAGGUCGGGUGUGUAAGCGUUGUGAGACGUUUAGCUAACCGAUACUAAUUGCUCGUGAGGCUUGAUCCU